CGGAGGGAAGCCUAACGGUCGGGCGCUUCAUUUGGGUUGAAGAACGUCUGGGUUCGACUCCCAGUCCUCCGA